rnacentral:rRNA from 1 species
GACGAACGCUGGCGGCGUGCUUAACACAUGCAAGUCGAACGGAAAGGCCCUGCUUUUGUGGGGUGCUCGAGUGGCGAACGGGUGAGUAACACGUGAGUAACCUGCCCUUGACUUUGGGAUAACUUCAGGAAACUGGGGCUAAUACCGGAUAGGAGCUCCUGCUGCAUGGUGGGGGUUGGAAAGUUUCGGCGGUUGGGGAUGGACUCGCGGCUUAUCAGCUUGUUGGUGGGGUAGUGGCUUACCAAGGCUUUGACGGGUAGCCGGCCUGAGAGGGUGACCGGCCACAUUGGGACUGAGAUACGGCCCAGACUCCUACGGGAGGCAGCAGUGGGGAAUAUUGCACAAUGGGCGGAAGCCUGAUGCAGCAACGCCGCGUGCGGGAUGACGGCCUUCGGGUUGUAAACCGCUUUCGCCCGUGACGAAGCGUGAGUGACGGUAAUGGGUAAAGAAGCACCGGCUAACUACGUGCCAGCAGCCGCGGUGAUACGUAGGGUGCGAGCGUUGUCCGGAUUUAUUGGGCGUAAAGGGCUCGUAGGUGGUUGAUCGCGUCGGAAGUGUAAUCUUGGGGCUUAACCCUGAGCGUGCUUUCGAUACGGGUUGACUUGAGGAAGGUAGGGGAGAAUGGAAUUCCUGGUGGAGCGGUGGAAUGCGCAGAUAUCAGGAGGAACACCAGUGGCGAAGGCGGUUCUCUGGGCCUUUCCUGACGCUGAGGAGCGAAAGCGUGGGGAGCGAACAGGCUUAGAUACCCUGGUAGUCCACGCUGUAAACGGUGGGUACUAGGUGUGGGGUCCAUUCCACGGGUUCCGUGCCGUAGCUAACGCUUUAAGUACCCCGCCUGGGGAGUACGGCCGCAAGGCUAAAACUCAAAGGAAUUGACGGGGCCCCGCACAAGCGGCGGAGCAUGCGGAUUAAUUCGAUGCAACGCGUAGAACCUUACCUGGGUUUGACAUGGAUCGGGAGUGCUCAGAGAUGGGUGUGCCUCUUUUGGGGUCGGUUCACAGGUGGUGCAUGCCUGUCGUCAGCUCGUGUCGUGAGAUGUUGGGUUAAGUCCCGCAACGAGCGCAACCCUUGUUCACUGUUGCCAGCACGUUACGGUGGGGACUCAGUGGAGACCGCCGGGGUCAACUCGGAGGAAGGUGGGGAUGACGUCAAGUCCUCAUGCCCCUUAUGUCCAGGGCUUCACGCAUGCUACAAUGGCUGGUACAGAGAGUGGCGAGCCUGUGAGGGUGAGCGAAUCUCGGAAAGCCGGUCUCAGUUCGGAUUGGGGUCUGCAACUCGACCUCAUGAAGUCGGAGUCGCUAGUAAUCGCAGAUCAGCAACGCUGCGGUGAAUACGUUCCCGGGGCU